AAGAAAGUAAGCAAGGGCGCAUGGCGGAUGCCUUGGCUCUCGGAGGCGAUGAAGGACGUGAUAAGCUGCGAUAAGCUUCGGGUAGGUGCAAAUAACCUUUGAUCCGAAGAUUUCCGAAUGGGACAACCCGUCAUUCUGAAGGAAUGACAUCUUGCAUAGCAAGAGGCUAACGCAGGGAACUGAAACAUCUUAGUACCUGCAGGAAAAGAAAAUAAUAAUGAUUCCCCAAGUAGUGGCGAGCGAACGGGGAUUAGCCCAAACCAAUGUUGUUACGGCAAUAUUGGGGUUGUAGGACCACGAUGUCGCAAGAACUUUAGUGAGAAGAAUUCUUUGGAAAAUGAAACCAUAGACGGUGAUAGUCCGGUAUUCGAAGCUAAACGAAGCGUAGUGGUAUCCUGAGUAGCGCGGGACACGAGGAAUCUUGCGUGAAUCUGCCGGGACCAUCCGGUAAGGCUAAAUACUCCCGAGAGACCGAUAGCGAACCAGUACUGUGAAGGAAAGGUGAAAAGCACUUCGAAUAGAAGAGUGAAAUAGUCCCUGAAACCGUGCGCCUACAAGCGGUCGGAGCAGCGUAAGCUGUGACGGCGUGCCUUUUGCAUAAUGAACCUACGAGUUACUUUUUCCGGCAAGGUUAAGCAUUUCAAAAUGUGUAGCCGAAGCGAAAGCGAGUCUGAACAGGGCGAUUAGUCGGAAGGAGUAGACGCGAAACCAAGUGAUCUACCCUUGGUCAGGUUGAAGGUUAGGUAACACUAACUGGAGGACCGAACCGAUAAGCGUUGAAAAGCUUCCGGAUGAACUGAGGGUGGGGGUGAAAGGCUAAUCAAACUUGGAGAUAGCUCGUACUCCCCGAAAUGCAUUUAGGUGCAGCCUUGGGAAUUACUACUGUGAGGUAGAGCGACUGAUAAGAUGCGAGGGCUUCACCGCCUAUCAAGUCUUGAUAAACUCCGAAUGCGCAGUAGUUCGAUCCCAGGAGUGAGGGCAUGGGUGCUAAGGUCCAUGUCCUAAAGGAGAAGAAUCCGGACCAUCAGCUAAGGUCCCGAAAUAAUUGCUAAGUUGAACUAACGAAGUCAGAUUGCUAAGACAGCUAGGAUGUUGGCUUGGAAGCAGCCAUUCAUUUAAAGAGUGCGUAACAGCUCACUAGUCGAGGAGUUUGGCGUGGAUAAUAAUCGGGCAUUAAGCAAUUUACCGAAGCUAUGGGAUCAGUAAUGAUCGGUAGGGGAGCAUUCCACUCUGCGUCGAAGGUGAAGCGUGAGCUUUGCUGGAGCGUGUGGAAAAGCAAAUGUAGGUAUAAGUAACGAUAAAGGGGGUGAGAAACCCCUCGCCGAAAGACUAAGGUUUCCUGAUCAACGCUAAUCGGAUCAGGGUUAGUCGGGUCCUAAGGCUCAGCCGAACGGUGAGGCCGAUGGCAGAACAGGUUAAUAUUCCUGUACUACCUUAAGGAGUGACGUGGAGACGGAGCAGUGAUAGCGCCGCGGACUGACGGAAUAGUCCGUUGAAGGGUGUAGAUGUUGAUCUUUGCAGGCAAAUCCACAAAGAGAGUCGAACCUGAUAGUAUACCAAAUUCUUCGGAAUAAGGUAAUAGUGCGUGUAAACAUACUCCCAAGAAAAUCCGCUAAACUUAAUCUUUAAGGUACCCGUACCGCAAACGGACACACGUAGUCGGGUUGAAUAUACUAAGGCGCUUGAGUGAUUCACGGUUAAGGAACUAGGCAAAUUGACCCUGUAACUUCGGGAUAAAGGGUCCCAACGAGAGUUGGGCGCAGAGAAUAGGUCCAGGCAACUGUUUAACAAAAACACAGGGCUGUGCUAAAUUGAAAGAUUACGUAUACAGCCUGACACCUGCCCGGUGCUGGAAGGUUAAGAGGAGAUGUCAUCGCAAGAGAAGCAUUGAAUUGAAGCCCCAGUAAACGGCGGCCGUAACUAUAACGGUCCUAAGGUAGCGAAAUUCCUUGUCGGGUAAGUUCCGACCUGCACGAAUGGUGUAAUGAUCUGGACACUGUCUCAACCGUGAGCUCAGUGAAAUUGUAGUAUCGGUGAAGAUGCCGAUUACCCGCGAUGGGACGAAAAGACCCCGUGAACCUUUACUAUAGCUUAACAUUGAAUUUGGGUAAUUGAUGUGUAGGAUAGGCCGGAGACUUUGAAGCAGGUACGCCAGUAUUUGUGGAGUCGCUGUUGAAAUACGGCCCUUUGAUUAUUUGAGUUCUAACUCGUAGAUGCGAGGACACUGUUUGGUGGGUAGUUUGACUGGGGUGGUCGCCUCCAAAAGUGUAACGGAGGCUUCUAAAGGUGCCCUCAGGACGAUUGGUAACCGUCCGUAGAGUGUAAUGGCAUAAGGGCGCUUGACUGGGAGACAGACAAGUCGAUCAGGUAGGAAACUAGAGCAUAGUGAUCCGGUGUUUCCGCAUGGAAGGGACAUCGCUCAAAGGAUAAAAGGUACUCCGGGGAUAACAGGCUGAUCCCUCCCAAGAGCUCAUAUCGACGGAGGGGUUUGGCACCUCGAUGUCGGCUCGUCACAUCCUGGGGCUGGAGAAGGUCCCAAGGGUUGGGCUGUUCGCCCAUUAAAGUGGCACGCGAGCUGGGUUCAGAACGUCGUGAGACAGUUCGGUCUCUAUCUAUCGUGGGCGUAUGAAAUUUGCGUGGCUCUGACACUAGUACGAGAGGACCGUGUUGGACUGACCGCUGGUUUACCAGUUGUGCCGCCAGGUGCAUCGCUGGGUAUCUAAGUCGGGAUUGGAUAAGUGCUGAAAGCAUCUAAGUACGAAGCCAGCCACAAGAUUAGAUUUCUUAGGGUCGUUAAAGACGAUGACGUUGAUAGGAUGCAGGUGUAAAGGUGGUAACAUCAAAGCCGAGCAUUACUAAUUGCCCGUUCACUUUCUUUC
rnacentral:rRNA from 1 species